ACCUGCUUCUGCCUGACGUGUACCCGGAAGGUCGUCAGCUCAGGCUCCAAAUAUGUAACAGUGAGUUUCUAAGUGAGUCACACGGACGCGGUUGGUUUCCAGUGAGGCAUAACUCAUCGCUUCACUCUUCUCAACGGUUCCCUCUUCGGAAGGAAGCGCAGUCCGCAGCGUCGUCCGAGGGCGUGAUCGCCUGCGUCGCACCCGCGUCUCCAGUGGCCACCCCUUGUCCUACAGGAACGCGCAUCUGCUUAGCAGGCGCUGAGCCCUUGAGGAGGCCUAAAAUGAAUGAACGCGGCUGUGCCUCCUGAGCAGGCUCACAGUUGUGGGUGGGGGACAGAAGGGUGUCCAUGCCUAAGGUCGACGGCGAUAAGACAGACGUUCUUCCCAGGAGGAGAUCAGUUCCAGACGGAGGUCUCGCUAUGUUGCCCAUACUGGUCUCAAAAUUCCUGGCCUCGAGUGAUCCUCCUGUCUCAGUCCCUGAAAUGCUGGGAUUACAGAACAGGUGGAGAGGUAUGAAGAACGAGGAACACUGCCCGGGGAGUUUCUUCCUCUGCAAAAUAAGGGAGUGUGUACUGAAUUACCGUUUCCAGCUCCAACAUCCAGGAUUUCAGCACUACCUGCAGAGUAGUGGGAGGAGAGAUAGGGUGUCACCUCUUAGCCAUCUGAGCACUGGGCUGGCUGCCAAAAACAGAGGUGAUGAUGUAACGUGCCAACUCUCACAUGGCUCAGAGGAGGAGGACCCCAGGACUCCAGGAUGGGACAGGGCAGCCACUUCUCACCAAGAUGAAGUCUUGCUGUCGCCCAGGUUGGAGUGCAGUGGCACGAUCUCGGUUCACUGCAACCUCCCUCUGCCUUCUGGGUUCAACCAAUUCUGCUGCCUCAGCCUCCGGAGUAGCUGGGACGACAGGCGCCCACCACCACGCCCUGCUGAUUUUCAUAUUUUUUGUAGAGAUGCGGUUUCACCAUAUUGGCCAGGCUGGUCUCGAACUCCUGACCUCAGGUGAUCUACCCAUUUUGGCCUCCCAAAGUGCUGGGAUUACAGGCAUGAGCCACCGCACCAGUAUAAAAACUGGUAUCAUGUAAUACACACAUUUUCACUACUUUAAAAAAAUUUGUCAUGUGGUGAAGACUUUUUCUUUCCAAUAAAUAUCAAUCUAUAUCAUUA
rnacentral:lncRNA from 1 species